rnacentral:tRNA from 1 species
AGCGGCGCAGUGGUUAAAGCACUUGGCUGCUAACCAAAAGAUUGGUGGUUUGAAACCACCAGCUGCUC